UACGUAGGGUGCAAGCGUUAAUCGGAAUUACUGGGCGUAAAGCGUGCGCAGGCGGUUGUGCCAGACAGAUGUGAAAUCCCCGGGCUCAACCUGGGAACUGCAUUUGUGACUGCACGGCUGGAGUGCGGCAGAGGGGGAUGGAAUUCCGCGUGUAGCAGUGAAAUGCGUAGAGAUGCGGAGGAACACCGAUGGCGAAGGCAGCCCCCUGGGCUAACACUGACGCUCAGGCACGAAAGCGUGGGGAGCAAACAGG
rnacentral:rRNA from 1 species